UACGGGGGGGGCAAGCGUUGUUCGGAAUUACUGGGCGUAAAGGGCUCGUAGGCGGCCAACUAAGUCAGACGUGAAAUCCCCAGGCUUAACCGGGGAACUGCGUCCGAUACUGGUUGGCUUGAGUUUGGGAGAGGGAUGCGGAAUUCCAGGUGUAGCGGUGAAAUGCGUAGAUAUCAGGAGGAACACCGGUGGCGAAGGCGGGUCUCUGGGCCGAUACUGACGCUGAGGAGCGAAAGCGUGGGGAGCGAACAGG
rnacentral:rRNA from 1 species